rnacentral:SRP_RNA from 1 species
GCCAGGCGUGGUGGCUCACACCUGUAAUCCCAGCACUUUGGGAGGCUGAGGCGGGAGGAUCACCUGAGGUCAGGAGUUCGAGACCAGCCUGACCAACAUGGUGAAACCCUGUCUCUA